UUGUCUCAAAGAUUAAGCCAUGCAUGUCUCAGUACGAGCCACAUUAAGGUGAAACCGCGAAAGGCUCAUUAAAUCAGUUAUGGUUCCUUAGAUCGUACCCACACUUACUUGGAUAACUGUGGUAAUUCUAGAGCUAAUACAUGCAAACAGAGCUCCGACCGGAGACGGGAGGAGUGCUUUUAUUAGAACAAAACUAAUCGGCGGCGGGCGCGCUCGCGCGUCCGUCACGCCGCUCAGCCUGGUGACUCUGAAUAACUUUUCGCUGAUCGCACGGUCUCGCACCGGCGACUCAUCUUUCAAAUGUCUGCCUUAUCAACUGUCGAUGGUAGGUUCUGCGCCUACCAUGGUCGUAACGGGUAACGGGGAAUCAGGGUUCGAUUCCGGAGAGGGAGCCUGAGAAACGGCUACCACAUCCAAGGAAGGCAGCAGGCGCGCAAAUUACCCACUCCCGGCACGGGGAGGUAGUGACGAAAAAUAACGAUACGGGACUCAUCCGAGGCCCCGUAAUCGGAAUGAGUACACUUUAAAUCCUUUAACGAGGACCCAUUGGAGGGUAAGUCUGGUGCCAGCAGCCGCGGUAAUUCCAGCUCCAAUAGCG
rnacentral:rRNA from 1 species